ACGACCUAACUAGUAUUUGGACAAAUUCGUAGAGUUACGUCGGUGAUUCCCAAUUUUCGUCGUCGAUUGGCGAAAUUUCGAUCUGCAAUUACGGCAAGGUGAUUGCAUUCCGUUCUACCACAACAUUAAGAAUUAACACAUGGUUGAUAGAGGGGAAGAGAACCAGGCUCGUGUCAACGGGUCGAAUCAGAGAUUGAAGAAAGAUAGGAUAAGCCAAUUACCUGAAUCUUUGUUAUGUGAGAUACUUAAUAAUCUUCCGCAGGCCCGGUCUACCCAUAAAGCAGGCAAAGCCUCUGCUUUAGGCCACACAAUAAAAGAAAAGUUUUAGGGCCACAUUUGUAAAAUAUUUCCUUAGGCUGGUGGUUAUGUAUUUAGUAUAUUAGGGUCGCUUCUCAAGUUCGAAUCCCAUCUGCUACAGGUUUUUU